UGUCUCCCUCUUAAUCGCCACUUUUAGCCACUGCUGCGCCGGGAUACGCCGUCGACAUCUUGUUCGCCGCUUUCAGUCGCCAUUGUGCCUUCUACCGAAACCCUAUGCAUCGAUUUUGGUCAUCGUGCGGCUCUGCCACCAGAAUUCCCAAAUUACAAAGCCCUUCUACGGUUAGUGUUCUCGACGUUCCUAUCGAAAGCCACAUUUGAAGAAGCAUAGGUUUUAAUACAUUAUAGAAUACCUGUCUAGAGUUGAUGUCCGAUUGAUAUUGGAUUCGAAGGCUGCUUGUAUCAGAGGUUGUAGGCAUAUUUGUGUUAUGUUAGUUAAUUGUGGGGUUUAAUUAUGUUUUUGAACUAUGAUUUAUUGCCUAAGCUCUGCAGUUGGGGGAAAUGCACAUGAAGUGUUUGUGAAAUUGCUUGAAAUUGCACAUGUGUCGUACCAUAUUGAGAUUAGAGUGCCUAAAAAAGCAUUCAGUUAAAUUAACUAACCUGCAGGUGACUUUUCCCAUUUUUCUCUUUCCACAUUCCGUGCAUAAGAUGCCUCACCUUCGUAUCAUUUCGCAGACUUGAAAACACAUUGAAUUAUGGCCUUGAAAGAGUUUGGGCAGUUGGCUACAUUAAAGGUUCAAGAAGGGUCGUAAUCGGUUAUGAUGAAGGCACGAUCAUGGUAAAGCUUGGCCGUGAGGUACCUGUUGCUAGUAUGGACAAUGGAGGGAAAAUAAUUUGGGCCAAGCAUAAUGAAAUUCAGACUGUCAACAUCAAGAGUGUUGGGGCAGAUUAUGAGGUUGCUGAUGGAGAGAGAUUACCUUUGGCAGUUAAGGAACUGGGAAAUUGCGAUCUUUAUCCACAGAGCUUAAAGCAUAAUCCCAAUGGUAGGUUUGUUGUUGUAUGUGGAGAUGGUGAAUACAUAAUAUACACAGCUUUGGCAUGGAGAAACAGAUCAUUUGGCUCGGCAUUGGAAUUUGUUUGGUCAACCGAAGGAGAAUAUGCUGUUAGAGAAAGCACAUCAAAGAUUAAGAUUUUCUCCAAAAAUUUCCAGAUUGAGAGUGAAUCUGCUCCAAAUGCACGAACAGAACCAACAGCUGGCAAUAGCAAAUGCUCAAAUUCUUGUGGUGUUUAUAUGACAUCUAUAUAUGUAGUAGCUCUUUGAUUUCUCUGAAGUUCUUCUGUUGUAUUUUGUUGAUAUUUAUUUCUACACUGGAUUUCAGGAACUAAAUUCAGGUAAAGAUCGGUUGAAAAUGUUACAGCAUGCACUUCAGUGCAAAACUGGUCUUCUCAAAGCAAGAAAAAUGAAUCUUGAGGGAAGGGAAACGACAACAGCAUUUGGAGAUGCUGGUGCAGAGGUUGAGCUUGUGUGUCGGGUUCUCUCCUAAGUUAGUUGCUGCAAAUUCAUCAUAGCAGGUCAACUAGUUCAUGAGGACUUGGUGCUAGAACACAUAAUAUGAUAGAUUUUUGUUUUAGCUAUAAGAUAGUUGGUACAUUCAAUUUUAAAUCGAAAUAUGCAAUGAUCAUAUGUACUUGAUACUUGGUUCAUUUGGAUGGUAAUG